rnacentral:other from 1 species
UGUUCCCUGCAGUGUGCGACCGGGCUCAUAUUUUCCGAACCGAUAGCUUCCUCAGGUUGCGGCCCCAGUUGUCACUGUUGUGAUCGUCCCUCGCCUUGGGCGUGCGGACGAACCUGAUGUGACCGGUAAGCGACCACCCUGUUUAGCAGGGUUCGGGAGCGAGCCCACCGGCACUGGCGGGGAACCC